UACGAAGGAUGCAAGCGUUAUCCGGAUUCAUUGGGUUUAGAGGGAGCGUAGGUGGCCUUAUAAGUCAGUGGUGAAAUCUCUGGGCUUAACCCAGAAAUUGCCAUUGAUACUGUAGGGCUUGAGUAUAGUUGCCGUUGGCGGAAUAUGACAUGUAGUGGUGAAAUACAUAGAGAUGUCAUAGAACACCGAUUGCGAAGGCAGCUGACGAAACUAUAACUGACACUGAGGCUCGAAAGUGCGGGGAUCAAACAGG
rnacentral:rRNA from 1 species